rnacentral:rRNA from 1 species
GACGAAGGAUGCAAGCGUUAUCCGGAUUCAUUGGGUUUAAAGGGUGCGUAGGCGGCCCGGUAAGUCAGUGGUGAAAUCUCCUUGCUUAACAAGGAAACUGCCAUUGAUACUGUCGGGCUUGAGUACAGUUGCUGUGGGCGGAAUAUGACAUGUAGUGGUGAAAUACAUAGAGAUGUCAUAGAACACCGAUUGCGAAGGCAGCUCACAAAACUGUAACUGACGCUGAGGCACGAAAGUGCGGGGAUCAAACAGGAUUAGAUACCCUGGUAGUCCGCACCGUAAACGAUGAUUACUCGCUGCUAGAGGGCAACUUUUAGUGGCUUAGCGAAAGCGAUAAGUAAUCCACCUGGGGAGUACGCCGGCAACGGUGAA